rnacentral:rRNA from 1 species
UACGUAGGGUGCGAGCGUUGUCCGGAAUUAUUGGACGUAAAGAGCUCGUAGGCGGUUUGUCGCGUCUGCCGUGAAAGUCCGGGGCUCAACUCCGGAUCUGCGGUGGGUACGGGCAGACUAGAGUGAUGUAGGGGAGACUGGAAUUCUUGGUGUAGCGGUGAAAUGCGUAGAUAUCAAGAGGAACACCUGAGGUGAAGACGGGUUGCUGGGCUGACACUGACGCUGACAGCGCGAAAGCUAGGGUAGCAAACGGG